AUGAUGGUGCAAUUGGAGAAUUUCUGGUUCUGCUAAUAUUGUGGAUUGGAUAAAUUGAAUAGUAACUUGCUACAAACACCCCCAAAAUACUGGGAUAAGAUGAGGAAACCAAGGAUCAAAGAGUUAAAGUCCUCACUACUCCUAGUGUGGUUUAGGAGGAGCAGCCACACUGCCUGGUCACCUGCAAGGCAUGCACAAUGACGGGCUCUUCCCCACAAACACUGGAUCACCACCAUCAGCCUUCUAACAGGAUCUCCAGAUGCUUCGGCUCCGAAGUGAUCCUUCAGUGUAUUCCAGGAAUAGAUAGUUUGAAGAUUCUUGACAGUUCUGGCACGGUAGCAGGCAAGUUACCAUGUGUUAGUGCUUGUGAUAAUAGCCAUUGUCUGUACCAUCUAAUUAUCUCGUCUGGCAUUCGACAAUCAGUCAUUCUUCCGCGGCUUGAGGAGAAGCAAACUCCAUAUUUUAUGUGCAUCGUGGAGACACUGAUUCCCUAAGUGCAAAACCCAGACACUUUAUGUGAAGUUCUGGCGUGUAGGCAGGCUUUGUAAAACUCCAAACUAUGGAAACUUUUCCCAGUGUAUUUUAUUUUGGAAGUUUGGGGUUUUGAAAAAAUGAAACCAAAAGACAGUCGUUCCUGGGAUUAUUCUGGUGGCUCGAAAUUCUCAUCGACCUAGGCAGUGGCUUGCUUCUUCACUUAUUAAGGGAAGUGAGGGGAGGUGAACAAGUUUUGAAUGCUUGCUAUAUGCUAGGCCCUGUGAGAAGGCCAUCCUUUGCCUUAUUUGUUUCUCAUGACAAUCCUGAGAGAGAGAGAGAGAGAGAGAGUAAGAGCAGGAGCGAGCGAGAGAGGAGAUCUUCUCAUCGUGUACAUCUAGAAAUUAAGACCUAGAUAAAACAGUCUGUUUCAGAUACCACACCUAGUGAAGGGUAGAGCGGACAGCUAAUUCCAUGCCUGCCUAACAAUUCCUAAUGCCCUCUUUUAAGUACCCUUUUAAGGCAUUUUUUGAUUUUACAAGGAAUAAAAGCAUUGGUUCUAUACAGAAGUAGGAAGUAGUAGCCAAAAGGAACCACCAAUAGAUCUUAUUAUGGACCACUGUAAGAAAUGGACCACCUUUUGCAUCAGCAUGGUGGAUCUCAGUGUGUCUGGGUGGCUCAGUCAUUAAGCCUCUG